rnacentral:pre_miRNA from 1 species
GACGAACAGCUUCUCCUCGAUCGCCCGCCUGCACAAGUAUAUAUACAAGCCUAUCGUACCAUAUACUUGUGCAGGCGGACGAUUGAGGAGAAGUUGUCCGUCC